rnacentral:hammerhead_ribozyme from 1 species
ACACUGCUGAGGAGUCUCAGAAUAGGACGAAACAGUUGUCUAGUGC